GCAGGAUUCAGGAUUGAAGCAGCUGUGUGAUUUUCUAGAGAGUCCAGGAUGUGGACUUGAAACUCUGAGAUUGAAGCACUGUGGUUUGUCAGAGAUCAGCUGUGAUUAUCUGGCAGCAGCACUGAAGUCCAACCCCUCCCAUCUGAGAGAGCUGGACCUGAG